rnacentral:rRNA from 1 species
CGUCCGCUUGUCCCCCCUCGAUUUUGGUUUGAGACAUUCUGGCUCUCCCAAACCGGGUUCGUGGAUGUGGUGGGCGCCCGGUGGAUUGAGGCCCGCGCCCACCCACACCCCCGCCCCCCGUCGGCCAUUGAUUUGUGGCACUUUUGCGCAAAACGCAGUCGAUAGUUCAUGAAGGGGUGGGGCGCUAAUCUGGGCCGUGAUCUCCGUGAGUGCAAAAAGUCGUUGCUUUUCGCAAUCCAGGCCCUGGACCUGCGCUCUGAUUCGGUUGGGCUUUCUCCGGAUGAGUGGCUUUCCCAGUAUGACUUGGAAGACCAGCUAUCCAUGAUCUAUACCGAUGAGGAGGCCUAUUGGCGCCUCCGUGGUGCCCAGAAAUGGGUCUUGAAGGACGCGAAUACGGCAUACUUCCAGGCUAUUGCCAACGGCCGCCUUAGACACAACACCAUCCCGCUUUUAUAGGAUGGUGAGACUCUCCUUCAAGACCCGCGCGACAUCCGGUCCCACGUCGACGGAUUCUAUAGAUCCUUAUUCUCUGCCGCUCCUCGGAGCGGCCUCUCUCUUGCCCCCGAUUUUUGGGCUGGCGCCCAGUUGGUAUCUGAGGCGGAGAACGCGGCCCUUACGGCCCCCUUCUCCGAGCAGGAGGUCUGGGAUGCCAUCAAAGGCAUGAAUCCCUCCUCGGCGCCUGGACCAGAUGGCCUCCCUGUUAAAUUCUUCCAGUCCUUUUGGAACGUGAUUAAACCGGAGGUCAUGGCUAUAUUCGAUGAGUUCUUCGUUGGCUCCAUUGAUCUCGGACGCCUCAAUUACGGGAUCAUCUCUCUCAUCCCUAAGAACCCUGGGGCGUCUGACAUUCGUCAAUUCCGGCCGAUCACGGUCAUCAACGUGAUCUUCCAUAUUCUGGCUAAAGGGUACGCCAAUAGGGUGACCCUGCUAGCCAACCGUGUGACGCACCCCAACCAAUCGACCUUCAUUAAGGGU